CCCCUCCUUCAUCAUAAAACCCUAAGUACUUUUGUAUUUUUAUUUUGUUUAAAGUGUUUUUGUAUUUUUAUUUUUUUAAAGUAUGUUUUGUGUUUCUAUAACAUGAUUGUGCCUUUUCAGCCUUCUGGCAUGUUUAAUGAAAUCAUGUUUGUUUCUUUUCAUUAUUUUUUGUCCAUGUCUUUUCGAUUGAUGACAAAGGGGGAGAAACGUAUGUAGGGGGAAUCGUAGUUGAUUUUAAUAUACCUAUAUUCGUGAAUCAUAACCCAUAUUCUUUUUAAUGUUUCUGAUAAUAACUACUUUGAAG
rnacentral:lncRNA from 1 species